GAUGAACGCUGGCGGCGUGCCUAAUACAUGCAAGUCGAGCGAACAGACGAGGAGCUUGCUCCUCUGACGUUAGCGGCGGACGGGUGAGUAACACGUGGAUAACCUACCUAUAAGACUGGGAUAACUUCGGGAAACCGGAGCUAAUACCGGAUAAUAUAUUGAACCGCAUGGUUCAAUAGUGAAAGACGGUUUUGCUGUCACUUAUAGAUGGAUCCGCGCCGCAUUAGCUAGUUGGUAAGGUAACGGCUUACCAAGGCAGCGAUGCGUAGCCGACCUGAGAGGGUGAUCGGCCACACUGGAACUGAGACACGGUCCAGACUCCUACGGGAGGCAGCAGUAGGGAAUCUUCCGCAAUGGGCGAAAGCCUGACGGAGCAACGCCGCGUGAGUGAUGAAGGUCUUCGGAUCGUAAAACUCUGUUAUUAGGGAAGAACAAAUGUGUAAAUAACUAUGCACGUCUUGACGGUACCUAAUCAGAAAGCCACGGCUAACUACGUG
rnacentral:rRNA from 1 species